GUGCUUGCUUCAUAAGCACACAGACUAAAACUGAAACAAUAGAGAUGAGCAUGGCUCCUGCACAAGGAUGACAUAGAACCACUUAUAAGCUUUCUAUAUUUAA
ensembl:snRNA U6 U6 spliceosomal RNA